UUGCUUCUCAUCAUUCAGCCGUUCUACACAUUUACCCUAAAACGCUUCCUCUUCUCAGAAGCCAUUGAAGCCACAUAAUUCUACAACACUGCCACCGGUAACCAUCACCACUAUACUCUACAUCACCGUCAACGUUUAACGACACCACCUAAAUCUCGCUCAAAAACCUCACCAUUCCUCACGUCCGUUGUUACACUCAUCGACUUACGAAUAUGGAAUCCCAUCUGCGAAUCGGUCCAAAGUUCUGGAACAUGAUGAAUGAACCUCCAAAUUUUCUUGGUGUUCUAGAGUUUUUAGAGGUAUGUUGUAGUGAGAAGGUCUUCAACUUCGGAUGAGAAAAAAAAUUCAGAUGAAAAAGGGAAUAUGGAUCUGUUUGAAAAAGGGUUUCCAGAUUUUUCUAUAGUUAUCAACAUUAUUUUAUCGUCUUGAAACAUAGUUGUUCAUAUGUCGU